rnacentral:rRNA from 1 species
GUCCACGCCCUAAACGAUGUCGACUGGUUGUUGGGAGAGGCAACUUUCUUAGUAACGAAGCUAACGCGUGAAGUCGACCGCCUGGGGAGUACGGCCGCAAGGUUAAAACUCAAAGGAAUUGACGGGACCCGCACAAGCGGUGGAUGAUGUGGAUCAAUUCGAUGCAACGCGAAAAACCUUACCUACCCUUGACAUGUGCGGAAGCCGGAUGAGAGUUCGGUGUGCCCGAAAGGGAGCCGCAACACAGGUGCUGCAUGGCUGUCGU